CGCGGGCGGGCCGGGGUCCCGCCGCUUGUGGGAGCCGCUGGGCGCCAGCUGCCCGCGCUUACCGGGACCUGGUGUGCCCUGCCUGGCGCCUGGUGCUGGUGCACCGGCAUAUCGGCUCGGCGUCGGUUGCUGGUCGGGUCCGGAGAGGAGGAAAUACAGGAAGAAGUGAUCGUGCUGCUGUGUUACCUGUUUGCUCGGCUGGGCCGCGUCUACCGGAACGUUGUGUCUGUGUGUCACCUUUGCAUGACAUGCACCAACGUCUGUUUUCUCAAAAUGAGUGACUUACACGGCGACCAAGCAUCUCUGGUCUACAUCUGCUUUUAAGACAGGCUGGGAGCCUCACACGGACAGUUGCCAGAUCAUGCUUAGGAGAAGCUAGAUGGAGAAUACAGAAUGAAGCAGUGGAUCUGUCUCCAGGAUUAAAAGAAUCAGAUGGGAAGUCUAUGGAUGGGAUCUGGUAUAUGCAUUGAGCAACUAUCAAAUUUGCCCUGGAUUGACUGCAAAGUAGAGAAGCAGAUUCCCACCUUCACCUCAUUUUCUUCACCUGAACCAGCAAUGAUUGGAUGAAAUACAUGUGUUGUGUGGAGCUGGAACAGGUUCAACGCUCCCAGCCAAGAUGUGCUCUCUGACAGAAGAUGUAAUCUGUGUAAUCUCCCAUGGUGGUAUUUUAGGCUGUGUCCUUGUAUCAGAACUGCUUUUAAAAAACAAUAUAAUGCUGGAAAUUA